UUUGCCCCGGUGGUGGAGCCCUGUUCCCACCAGACUUUGCGCAUCAAUUAUUUUUCCCUUCUCAGUCCCUCACCUACAUGGAAUGGCUCUUUCUCCAAAUCUUCAUGACACCCCUUGAGGCACUCACAGGGUACUAUGGCCACGUUUGGCCUUCCCUCCCAGUGGAGGAUCUUCCCAGCCGAAUCUCUUUCCAUACUUACAUCUACAGUUCAUGCUUGCCAGAGCGCACACCCCGCCCACCACAUUGCGUCAGGCUUCCAGAGCUGCGGGUGAUCCGGAGGUGGCUGACUGUGUACCUGUCAUCUGACAGAUCUGAGAGUUUCAACCCCGAUGGCAGUCUUCCAGCAGCGGGGAUUAACUUUCUCAUUUGAAGAUCAGUUUUCAAAGGUGGAAGCCGUGGGUGUGCCCGCCACACUGCCACCGUUCUCAUGCUCAUAGAAACCCGGGCUUGUCUGAGCCGUAAACCCGGACGGUAAUGAACAUGCCACACAUUCCGAGGCCUGUCAUCUUUCCCUGGCUUUGCAUUGUGCAAUUGCUGCCCACGGCUGGCCUCUCAAUCAUCUGCUCUAGCAAAAGAGGGCUACUCCCCGUCCUGUGAGUAGACAUGUGCAUCUCUACUGCCCUCUCCACUGCUGGUCACCUUGGCACUUGGGCUGAAAUGUUCUCCCACACUUCUACACUCACAUGCUAUCAUCCUGUCAAGCCCCAAUUCUAGUUCUACUUCCUCCGUGAGUCGUUUCCUAAACACGCCACCCGCAGGGGUCUCGCCUUCCUGGAAUCCACACCCACAUUUAUGGUCUGUUCCUGCGGCCAGUUCUCUAAAGUCCUCGUUUGCUUGAUUACUUGUUUAUCUUAACUCUUGCGCUUUCAUGUGGCCUUUCUUGUGGUUAUGGUUUAUGUUCACAGCUAAGUUGUAAAAAAGUUCGUUUCUGUUUCACUCUUUAGGAUCUGGAAAGUACCUUAAAAUCUAAUUUCUGUCGAUCAGAGCACUCCGUACGGAUUUGGACACAGAGGAGGUCAGCAAAUGGAGUUUGAAAAGCAGCCACGCUAGGUCACACUGCCAGGCUAGAAAGAAAAAUGUUCAGAUAUUCCUUUGGCACUAUGAAGAUACAAAAAUGAGAAUUUCAAAAAUUGGUUGAAUUCAAGGAAACCCUUCUGGUGAGAUUGUCACCUUUCCAUCUGCAGUCACAUCUAUGGUAACCAAGAGUAUUUGAGAUAUCGCCAUGAAUGGCACCCAUGAGUGGUUGAACGUGGACCAGUCAGCAGCUGAAGACUCCUGGCUUAAGGAGCACGUCACUUCCUUAUCUAGCAGAGUGACCUUGGAGUGUGGUGCAUGUUAUUCUGUAGCUGCAAAUCCUUCUGCAAGAAGAUAAAGAUGUUUCACAGUGGAGAUUUUCUAUUUGGCAGGCCUACCUCAAUAUUUUGACCCUGACCUUUGGAAGAAUGAACUUUUUUUUUCCAAUGCAGAAAAAUGAGUCAUUAGUAUCAGCAAAAAAAAAAAAAAGUGCUUUAGAAUAUGUUUGAUCAAUGAGCUGUGCUUGUGUGUGCUCUUCUUUCGGUGUGAGAGCUUGUGUAGGUGUUUCUGGCCCAAACAUUUUUGACAUUCUGAUAACCUGCAGGAUGGGAAAUGCUGCCUCUGAAAGAAACGCAUUGUGGAACCCUGAAGAAUGCCCCAUUCAGGUCUUAAGUGGCACCAUCUGCGUGUCUCCUAAAAUGUGGGCGCCCUGAAAAGCUUUGUCCCCUGAGAGAGAACUUGGCUUCCACAGGCUCCUGACUGCCGCGAUGUCCGGGUGAGGUGUUUGUCCUCUUGCCCUUUGGUGUGGCCUUCUGAGAAGCUGACUUGAGAGGAGACAAACCGCAUUGAGUUGCAGAAACCCUGGGAAUAAGCACAUACUGCCUGCUACAGAAGGCAAAAAUCCCAGCUGUCAAAGCAAAAUUUCCAAAGUAAAGUGGACAGGGCCUUUCUUCAUUUGCAUGUAAAUAGGUCAAAAUAAACAUCAAAAGGCAGGAAGAGCGCCUACAUGGUCGCUGAUGAGAAUGAAAAAUAAAAUUCUUUUCCAGUUUCA